ACACACGUGGACUCUGGAAAAAAAAAACAAAAAAACUAAAAAUACAGUAUUUCUGUUUUCAUUUUCGUACCUGUUAAAUACAGUAGCCAAAAAACACGACUACUGAAAUUUUCUGCAUGACAAUAUCCUGUUUUUGACAAGUGUCGAAGAAUUACGAGGUGUCGCGUAACAGUUUCUACAGAGAACAGAGACCUCGAGUACAUGCGAGCGCGCGCGUGUGCGUGCGUGUGUGGGAGACGGUGAGUGAAGCAGCUGUGAAUCAACAGGUGCUCAGUUCCUGGAAAGUGAUGGCUGCUGCUGAGUCAUAUCUGAAUUCCUGCAAAAACCACGCAGCUCAAUUUCCUCUCUUCCACAGCUCUUUCGAUUUAAAGAGGAGACAUCCGACGUGCACUCUAUGAAUCGUUUUCUCUGAACUGCACUUUUGGUAGAAGCUUAAUUUCUUAGAUAGAGCUAAAAACUACAAUUAAAAGUUCUCACACCUCACUUUGUUUCUCUUGGCAUUACACAAAAAAGAAACAAAAACGCACCACCAGAAGGCAACAUGUGYGAACAUGUUAGCCCGUUUUUCCCCUCCACUUCCUCCACUUACAUUUCCACAGUGACAUCUAUCCCCACAGAAGGCUGUUGAACAUAUUUUCAUAGGUUAAUGUUCCGCGUAGGCGGCCAGGGCACUUUUGAUACCAUCACAGCAGCAAAACAAGGAGAAAUAUAGUCAACUUUUUUCUUCUUUUUUUUUUUUCCAUUAUAGAAAAAGUGAGCAGUGGUACACGAGAAACGCAAGAUGUGUCAUAUUCUGGCUGUACAUCACGCUAGUUUAUUGAGGUUGCGAAUGUUUUUGACCUGAUUUCUAGAGCUAAAUGCUGUUGUGUGCCUGGACGUCUUGGCAGGGCUUUGAAAAUGACAGUAUGUUUCUGCUGAUGAGCCAAGGUGUCGGUACUGAGUCAUGGCUUACCGUCCACAGGAACAUCAGAAACCACGCAGCUCUACCGACACUGCUCAAGCAAUCAGGAUCUGCUGCAGCUGCUGGCCGGCGUACUCCGGCUUGGCAGUGAGGGGUCCWACAGGAACCUCCAUACCCAGGAUGUCUGUCACCAU